rnacentral:piRNA from 1 species
UUAGAAGUUAAUAUUAACCACCAUAGGAUG